AGGACGAACGCUGGCGGCGUGCUUAACACAUGCAAGUCGAGCGGUAAGGCCUUUCGGGGUACACGAGCGGCGAACGGGUGAGUAACGACGUGGGUGAUCUGCCCUGCACUUCGGGAUAAGCCUGGGAAACUGGGUCUAAUACCGGAUAUGACCUCCUAUCGCAUGGUGGGUGGUGGAAAGAUUUAUCGGUGCAGGAUGGGCCCGCGGCCUAUCAGCUUGUUGGUGGGGUAAUGGCCUACCAAGGCGACGACGGGUAGCCGACCUGAGAGGGUGACCGGCCACGACUGGGACUGAGACACGGCCCAGACUCCUACGGGAGGCAGCAGUGGGGAAUAUUGCACAAUGGGCGAAAGCCUGAUGCAGCGACGCCGCGUGAGGAUGGACGGCUUCGGGUGUAACCUCUUUCAGCAGGACGAAGCGCGAAGUGACGGUACUGCAGAAGAAGCGAACGGCUAACGUACGUGACCGAGACC
rnacentral:rRNA from 1 species